ACAGAUUCAGAUGUCCUUCGCUUUUUGUGGUUACUGACCUUUCAUCAGAGCCUUGAGACGACGGCACUCUGAGAGGAGUUCCCACAAUCUGCAACUGCAGCAGUGGGGUCUGAGCGAGAAGUGAGGACCUCUGAGGCACCCAGUUGUGUCUCUUCAUUUCUCAAAGACUUAGCUUCACUUUAGGACUUGGUGCAGAGGUUAGUUCUGUCGAAUCUCCUAGUACUGGAUGGUUAAAUAGCUAUGUAGGUAGAGUGAGGCAAAAGCUCAGAAGCACACAUCCUCUUUCCAACUUUAAAAUCAGAGUAUUCCUAGGACAUAUCUGUUCUUCAAAGAGAGAAUCUUUCACUGGUAGAGACUCAUUCCAACUGCAGUCCUAACUGGGAGUAAGGACAGUGUGGAGGAGGGCCAGCAAGUCCACCUCUCCAGGGUCAGUGCUGGAAGGCCUCUUCGGUGCACGUCUCCUACCUGUAGUCACUACAGUCACAGGCUUCUUGUUCAGGUAUUUUUAGCUGUUAGAUGUCCCAAAUUUGAACCCAUCUCAGAACCUUUCUUCUCCUGAGAUCAAGAUCUUUAUCCAACCUUGAGAGACAGAAACCUAACAGACCCUUUGUGGGUGUGAUUCAUGCUGUGAUUCAUAUGUUUCCUGUGAAGUCAUUGAAACGUGCUAUAUCAUUAUGUCUUCAACUUGGACGUGUGAAAAUAUGACCUGAUUAAGCAGUUGAAAAAAUUCUGAAAUGUUUCUGUGCUCCAUUUAGGGCCUUUGUUUUCAUUAUUGGAUUUCAGAAUAAAAUAUCCUGAGGGACCUAGAAAGGGGAAAAAAAAUGAGGAAUGGCCAUUGGAUGCCCAGUUCACAGGCUGUGUAACAAUAAUACUGAGAAGUGCUCAUGGUAUUCUUUUCCUCCUUGACCACCGGCACCCAGCUUCAUUCAGUUCAAUCCCAGACAUUAGCAAGUUCACAUAUUCAAAGAGAAUUCCUGACUGUUUAUGGAGUGAGGAUCAAAUUUUUCCAGGGAAUGGUAGAGAUCUUCUAUGAGCAUAGACUAAUGAGAGUUCUUAAGUUUUGAAAGAUAAAAGCAGGUAUUAGCUUUUUGUGUUCCCAAAGGCUGUAAUUUUGACCUAGGCACAUAGAAGAGGGUGCCCCUUGAAGUAAGAAAAGGGGGAGGAGGGAAGAGGGAGUCUUCGAAUAAAAAUAGGAAAUUAGCAUUUCCCUUAUAAUUUAAUACUCACACAAGGUGCCACGGACCCAGGUAUAGACCCAGCGUGUGUGGUGUAGGUGGUAAGAGCUGCUGGCCAGCAACUGGCAUUGCAGAAGAUGUCUGUGGGCCAGCAGAGGCAGGGUUUUGAUGGUUCAAUAUGGCACUUUCUUCUUUUUUUCAAAUGUUCUCAAUCUCCCCUAUACCUGACGUCCAGGAUGUGCUGUAAGGAAGGCUCCUGCUGUUUAUGCCAGCAGUAAAGUCAGACUCCAUAAAGAGGGUCCCUGUGAUUUCAGGUUUUGGGUAAGCAAACUGGAGGCCACAAAACCCGUGUCUAGGCUGGAGAGCAGGGACCCAGGCUUCUAUGCCUAGACAUUAGCCAUCCUUCAGAAUCCAUGAGUCACUGUCUUUUCUGAAUUUGCCAGAAGAACAGUUUUGUGCUCAUGAGGUCACACUGGCCUGGGAGAGCUGGAUCUGAAGUCACUGGCUUGGACAGCUAAGACAGGUGGUGGUGCCUUUUCUUCCCCUACCGUAAACUCAGGAGCGAGCCCCAAGACCACCAGCGCAGCGUGCACCAAGGGCAGGGGACGGCACGCCACUCGGACCAGCCCUGCAGGAUGCAUGCCUCAAGGCCUGGGCUCCUCAAGGGCAGAACUGUGUCUUACUUCUUACUGGUCAUUCGGGCCCAAGGUGCUGAAACACUACCUGCUGGUACCAACGUAGCAGAUGCUCAGGAAACGUCAUCUCGGCGAUGGCAGUAGUGAUGCCUCAUGUUAGCUGAAAGUAUUAUAAAGGGUUCUUGGUGGUUUAGAGUCCCAGAGAACACAACAUAAAACAAAAACCAAAAAAAAAACAAAAGAAGUAAGUUUUUUUCCAAUUACAUGAUUUUCCCAUCAGUGGGAAAAAAUGUAGGUGCUUUUUUCCUUUUGAGAUCUUGAAGGAAUUUAGGUGGCUCUUAGUAAGGUGACUGUCAGGGACACUAGGACCUUUUCAGUUACUGAAGGAUGAUGGGUUUAGGUUUAAAUUCCUGCUUUCUGGAGCAUUUCUGCCAGAAUCAGGCUGUUCAUCACACAGCUCCUUCUGGUCACCUGUGCCCCUGAACGUGUCACCUCCUCAGAGAAGCCUUCCCCAAAUGUGCCAUCAGUCACAUUACCCUAUUUUACAUGCCUGAAAAGACAUGUCACUACUUACCUGUUUUGGUUAUUUCUGUCUCUGUGCCACUUGGCAUGUAAGCUUCUGGAGAGGGUGGGCCCUGUCUGUCUUAGCACGGCUGCUCCCAUCACAAGGCAUACAGUAGUCAUUUAAUAAGUACAUCAUGGACAGACAUCAAGUGGAGAGCACUCCAGCUGAACUCUAGAGGAAAGGAGUCUCCUAGUCUUCUCGUUCUUUGCCAGCUCCCGAGUAUCAAAUAAACACAAAGUCCCACUCUCAAUGGGGGACGAGGAGGAGGAGUUUGUUCUAAGGAACUGUCACAAACUGUAUUCUCUCCUCUUGCUUCCUGGUUCUCCAUAAGUUGAAGGAGGUGAGGAAGAGACCCCAGGUUUGCCUCUGGGUGUGAAACUUACACCCUAGGACCUUCCCAGAUCCCAGACCCAACAGUGCCACUGUGCUUGGGGCCUCUGGGUGAGCUGUAUACAGGGCUCUGCUGUGCACAGAGCUGGGCCGCUCACUCCCCCAACCUGGGCUUCAGCUUCCCUGCCACCAAGAUUGAGGUUUGUGCCUUGGCUCAAUUACAGAUGGCCCCAUAUAUCUUGUUAUUUCAGGGUACUUAGAAACAGUCAGAGCUUUCUGCUUAAUCUAAGACUGUCAGGUCUCAAUGUCAACACUGUUGAGCAUUUGGGAAAGAUGGCCCAGCACACAGCCCCCCAAGGGAUGAACGGGGUGGGGGCAAUGGACUUGAAGUUGGCACUGCCUUCCCACUGCACUAUGCCCUGCUUGUCUUUGCUCAUUUUUUCUCUCUGCCUGGCUGCUGUGGGCUGAUGUUAUCUGGUGGUGUCAGGCAAGAGAACAGACAGCAUGCAGUGGAAUGUGCAGUAGGUUUGAUUUUUUAAUCUUUAAGAUGCCCAAAGCUUGGGUGAGGGAUUAUUGCUUUAUAAAGGCAAACAAAGCCCUCAAGGUGGCAUUUCCUAGCAAAACACAGCUAUCAGAGUGUACGUUAGGUAGAAGUGUUCAUUUACCUGAAAAAUUUUCACUCAGGGAUGUUUUUCUCCCUAGUGAGGGGAGUGGCGGGGCUCAGAACUCAGCCAGCCUGCACACCCUUUGCACAGCUGCACACUCACCCCGAGUCCUGGAGACCUCUGUCAUGUGGAAACCAGUGACAAAAGUAAUUGCCAACUACCUAAACAGCUAAACUUCUUUAAGGAGAAAGCAGAAAAUCUGCUUUUAAUCAAAGCAGCCAAAGUGUUUGAGAGACAAAGGAAGUGAUUUGCAAGUGAAUAAAAAUCCCUGGGCUUCCUUACCUUUCUCCCUGGGGGUUGAACCUUAAACUUACAGUUAAAGACCACGACCUGAGAAGGAGGGGGUUCUGCCCAUCCUCUGCUCUGCACUGGCCUGAUGGUGUUCUAGAUAGGGGUCUGCAGAGGAGGGACACCAACAGUGGGUGGGUUCCAACUCCCAUGCCAGCUUUGCAGCUUCCUUGAGGUGGAUAAAAGGAGAGUUCCUGUGGCCAGGAUUCUCACCUGGCCCUGGUUGACUAGCUCACUGCACACCUUUGGGCAAUACAUGGCUGUUGACUCUAUAAAAAGAGC